GGAUGACCGCUAGCUACAGGCUUACCCCAUGCAAGUCGCGGGGCAGCCUGGGGGUUGCUUGCAAUCCCCGAUGGCGACCGGCGCACGGGUGAGUAACGCGUAUCCAACCUGCCCUUCACCACGGGAUAACCCGGCGAAAGUCGGACUAAUACCGUAUGUUGUCCAUUGACGGCAUCCGAUUUGGACGAAAGGUUUGGCGGUGAAGGAUGGGGAUGCGUCCGAUUAGCUGGACGGCGGGGUGACGGCCCACCGUGGCGACGAUCGGUAGGGGUUCUGAGAGGAAGGUCCCCCACACUGGAACUGAGACACGGUCCAGACUCCUACGGGAGGCAGCAGUGAGGAAUAUUAGUCAAUGAGCGUAAGCCUGAACCAGCCAAGUAGCGUGCAGGAUGACGGCCCUAUGGGUUGUAAACUGCUUUUAUGCGGGGAUAAAGUGGCCAACGUGUGGGUUUUUGCAGGUACCGCAUGAAUAAGGACCGGCUAAUUCCGUG
rnacentral:rRNA from 1 species